CCGAGGCUGCCUCUGUCCUCACAGCGAGUGCAGUUGCUGUUGGCUGGUUGGAGAGCAUUUGGGUUUCUAGGCUGGUGAGCCACUGCGCUCGGAUCUUUGUGAGUUGUUGAAUCUGAACACAGUGAGUUUUCUUCUACGUUCCUAUGUUUCAGUUUAGAGGUUUCUGUUUUCUGCUUUUAAACUAACUCUUCUAGUUCUUCGUUGAAAUAUGAUUGGGAAAUUUUUUAUUGUCUUUGUUAAUAGUUUUUUGACUUUGCUUUAAAAAUGUCCUAUUUUACAUGUCUCUAUUCCUUUAACUAUAUUGGAACAUUAGUUUACACAACAUGCUCAUUCUCACAAUGAUAUUUCCAUAUACGUACAUGAAGAACUUUGAUCACUUCCCCUCCCUGAUCACACCUUCUAUUGCCUGCCCCUUCCAAGUCCCCCAGUGUUUCCUUUUUUGUUCAUACCCUUACUUUCCAAGUACAGGCCUAGUUAUAUCAAGUCCUCCUAUUCACAGGACUGACUGGCAAUAUUGGAUGGUCUCUUAAGGAAGGGCAGCAAUGUGUCUCUGUGCUUUGGCAGAAAGUUUCCUUCUAGCUGGUUGGUUAUCUUAGGAUCUUCCUGGCAGUUCAUGUUGGAGUCACCACACAUUAAGCCCAAAAUGCCUGGGACACCUGAUAACAAGGAAGAAAAACCUGCUUGGUGUAUUGUUUCAGGCACAGGGCCAUGACCUCUUUUGGGGUCCAGUAUGAGUACUGAGGCUUCAGGGUCUGCUUCUUUGGUGCAGGUACCUCAUGUCAAUUCUGCAACUAUUCUUGGUACUUAUCAUUCUCCUGUUUAUUUACUGUUCCUUCUCUUUCCUCUUUCCUUGAUUAUACCAGUAUUUGGUAACUGGGCAAGACUUAGUAGGAGCUUGCUUGAUGUCCAGAAGCUAGAUAUUACCAAUAGUAUUAAAGUGAAGGCUGUUCAUGAGUUCAAGAGAAAUGUAUGUUACACUCAGUCAAGGUGAAAAUAAGAGUAACCUAGAGCCGAGGGCAGAGAUGAGUAAAUCUGCAGCUGAUCCUCCAGUCUUAGUCUAAAUUCUAUACAAUAAAAACAGGACAUUUUUAUUACAAAACUGAGGAUGAAAUAGCAUACAGAUAUUUCCCAGAAAAUCGGCAAUGGGUUCCUCGGGUUUAGGGAAGGUGGUGGCAUCCCCUAGAAAUUCUCGAUACAGGUAAAUAAGGAUGUUUUUGUAGACAGGUGGGGUCCUGAAGACUGUAAGGUUAGCAGUAUGACCUUAUGUUUGCCCUUUUAUGAAACCAUACUGUCAUAUCUGAAACAUGGUGACUCUGUAACCGCAAUACUGCUGCCCCUGACCUAAUUAGAGACUGGUGAUCGGGAGAUAUAAAAACAUUGUGCUUGCUACAAAACAUUUAUGUUUGAGAUUGUAUAGUUCCCUUUUUUUCUCUUCUCAAUCUGUACAAUUCUGUAUCAUAAGAAAAUGUUGACACAGGAAAAUUGAGAAGCAUUUACCCAACCCCUUAUAAAUUUUGUAACCCAACUUCCUUGUAUGAUUGCAAUAAAUUACUGGGGUUGAGUUAAAUCUAUAUGAACAUUUCUGACUCUUGAGUUCAGAAGCUCUCAUGGCUAAAAAGAACAGCCUGUUAGCAUAUAUAUGUAUAUGUAUAUGUAUAUGUAUAUGUAUAUGUAUAUGUAUAUGUAUAUGUAUAUGUAUAUGUAUAUGUAUAUGUAUAUGUAUAUGUAUAUGUAUAUGUAUAUGUAUAUGUAUAUGUAUAUGUAUAUGUAUAUGUAUAUGUAUAUGUAUAUGUAUAUGUAUAUGUAUAUGUAUAUGUAUAUGUAUAUGUAUAUGUAUAUGUAUAUGUAUAUGAUGUAUAUGUAUAUGAUGUAUAUGUAUAUGUAUAUGUAUAUGUAUAUGUAUAUGUAUAUGUAUAUGUAUAUGCAUAUGAUGUAUAUGUAUAUGUAUAUGUAUAUGAUGUAUAUGUAUAUGUAUAUGUAUAUGUAUAUGUAUAUGUAUAUGUAUAUGAUGUAUAUGUAUAUGUAUAUGUAUAUGAUGUAUAUGUAUAUGUAUAUGUAUAUGUAUAUGUAUAUGUAUAUGUAUAUGUAUAUGUAUAUGAUGUAUAUGUAUAUGUAUAUGUAUAUGUAUAUGUAUAUGAUGUAUAUGUAUAUGUAUAUGUAUAUGUAUAUGUAUAUGUAUAUGUAUAUGUAUAUGUAUAUGAUGUAUAUGUAUAUGUAUAUGUAUAUGUAUAUGUAUAUGUAUAUGUAUAUGUAUAUGAUGUAUAUGUAUAUGAUGUAUAUGUAUAUGUAUAUGUAUAUGUAUAUGUAAAUGUAUGUAUAUUCUCAAUUGUGUGUUUUCUUAUUCGCCUACCAAGUAUCCCUAGUCUGUGACAACCCCAGACUCAUGUCAAGGCUGGACCAUGGUAAGUUCAAAAGUCAUGAUGCCAUGCAAGGGCCAAAGGAAUGAUCAGAUCCCAUUCUGUUCCUGCUAAUUCUGGAAGUGGGCAACUGAAACGACUUUAAGAACAGAAUAAAUGUAAAUCUUUUUUUCUUCCUCCCCCCUAAAUGUAAGUCUUAAGAGGGCCAGAUUUGUGCUUCCUUGAAGAACUUUCCUGGCUGGCACAUACCAUAGUUUGUCCCUCCAACUACUUGGGUCACGGUCAUUCCUUGAGGUAUCUUCUGUCUUAAGGUGGGUGAAUGUUGUACAAAAGCUAGUGAUUUACCAGGCACAGGAGAGGGGUCAAUAAUAAUUUUGAAGCAAAGGAUCAAGCUCAUGCCUUUGAGCUGUGCUGUCCAAAGAACUCAAAGAACAUGUGAAGGAACAAAACCUGCCUAGUGCUGGCAUAGUCUGUCUAGCACUUCACAGACUCCCUUACAAACUCCUGUCCCUUUGGAAAAACAGAGGGGAAUUGUUAGUGUCUCUGGAUCCUGGGCUUUGGGGAGAUGUCUCAGGCCUCAUGGGGAACAUGGGAUGGAUGGUGUCCUCUUCCUCUCAGACCCACAGGUGUUAGUCUCAAACCCUGGGGUACCACGGCAAACAGUAUUUUGUCUUGACUUCCAAUGUAGUAAGUAGCUACCAUCCUUUAGCACCCAUCAAUGUUCGUUUAUAAACUCAAAUAAUACUCAAAUAAUAAUUGAGUACUUUGAGAGUGUAGACCUGAGUUACUACAAAGUUAUCAUAAAGGCUGGGGUCAAAGCAGAACACUGUCCAUCUAGAAACCAAGGAAUACCAGAGCCCAUAACUGAGGGAGAACCAAAAAUCUGGAGCCCAUCCAUCAUUCUCAGGAUUCUGUGUUAACAAGGAAAUUGUUCUUGUUAAAGUUAGAGUGUCAAAAGUUCCACAGAGUGUCAAGUGUUUGAACAUAGUUCCCACCAGGGGGUGCCAUUUGGGAGAAAUUAAGGAUCUUAAGCAGUGGGCCUAACAGGAAGAAGUGGAUCACCGGCAACAUUGGGGACAGAUCUUUGAGUGUAACCAGCUCUCUACUGCCCCACUGACCAAGAUCAUUCUUCCUGUACUUUGAGACAGAAUGUGAGCAAACCCAGUGGGUUGUGCCUAGACACCAUUGGUCCAUUUCCUGCUCUGAUCUCACCAGGAACCAUUGUUGGGAAUGAUAGACACCUGCCCACUUAGAGCUCUAACUGAGGCUGCCUCUUGCCAUUACAGAUUUGAAGCUGUAGGUUGGUUGGAAACCAACUGGAAUUUGAUGCUGUUAAGUGAUUAUACUUGGACUUUGUGAGCUUUGAAUCCUGAAGCAGUUUCUCUCCACUAUGACAAGAGCUUGGUUCUAGUCAAGUCAUGAGAGCCUGAUGAUGCAGCAGGAUCUGAAGGUCUGCUCCUUGAUUGAGGAAAACUUCUCCAUUGGACGAAAGAAACUUUUCAGUGGUGAAACAGACCUUCCAUAUCACCACAUUGACCUCUGUGUCUGUAAAAAUUCUUCGAAACAUCAAGAAGUACACCUCACUGCUCUGCAAGGAUGCCAGGAUUAUGAAAAUCCUUAGCCAUUCUAACAUUAUCAAGCGUUUCAUGUGGUCCAGAGAAGAGCGAUCACUUACAAGGUGAUGGAGUGUGCCUCAGAGGGAGAGCUACUAGAUCUCAUCAUUGAAGGCGGUCUUUAGAGGAGAGCUAGUCUUGGAGACUGUUUGUUCAGAUAGUACAUGCUGUGCAGUACUGCCACAACAAUCACAUUGACCAUUGAGACACAAAGGCCAGCUAUUUUGACUGAUUACAGGGGCAAACCCAAGAUGUCUGAUUUUGGCCUUGCCGCUAAAGUAAUUCCUAGGCAGAAACUGGCAAAUUUCUGUGGCACAUUGCCCUACUGUGCCUCAGAACUCUUGUAAGCAGAGGUGUAAGAGGGCUACCCAGUGGAUAUCUGUAGUUUAAUGGUCCUCCUUUUCCUCAUGUUGUCUGGGAGCCUGCCUUUCUAAGGCAGGUCUUUUGAGGAGGUGAUCCUUGCUGCAAACUUCAGCAUUCCUCCUCAUGUUUCCAUUGAUAUUUUCAAUGUCGUCAUUGAAAUGCUAAUGAUCAAUCCCAGCAAGAGGCUCAACAUUCACCAAAUCAAGACACACCCCAUGAUCAGGGACUGUGAGUCAUGUUUACCACCUACUUCCACACAGGUUUUCCCAGACACUCCAAGCCCUAGCAAUGUCAGGAGCAUGAGAGUCAUUGCAUAUAAGCCUGACAGGAAUAUGUCCUCCUGCACACCUCAGGAGGAGCUCUGUGGAUCCCUGCAGGCACCUAAGAUUUAUACCCUCACAGGCUUCUCCCCUGGGUAUACUUUGGAGAAAGACGCCCUCAUGGAGGAAAAGAACCUCACCCAGGAAGAUGCCAUCAAAUAGGAAAAGGCUCCUUCAGAAUGUCUCCAUCAUUUAGGAAGAGCUCAUUACUGAUGUCCAUCCUCAGGAUGUAGGCUGAACUUGCCCUCAUACCUGGCAACAUCACUGGAUGGGGGUGAGGAAGACAAUCAUGAACUCUCUGAAACCUCUGCUGCUGCUGCCACAACCAAAAAGAAGUCAUCUCCCAUAAGAACCUGGCUCUGAGGAAAGGAGAUCUUGGAGUCAUCUUCAAGACCAGAUUGUGCCAACAUCACUCAAAGCAUGAGGCACAUAGAAACCUGAGUUACAGACAUGGAUGGUCCCUCCAACAAAAUGUCUGCCAUCAUUUUGAACACAAGACCACAAGGGUCCUGGCAUCGUAUUCCUGCUGGGAUUUCUGUUGAAUUCAUCAGCAUGACCCUACAGCAUUCUACUGUUGUAAAACACAAUCUUAUUUAGUACCUUCAUGGUCCACUGAGAAACACUAAACUCUUGUAGGACAGAUAUAUGCACUUACCCCAAUCUGAAAAGAGAUGGGUGUCUUAGUCCACUCUGUGGCAGGAAGAGCACCAUUGGACCCAAUGCUCACCAAUCCACAAUGAACAACUCUGGGAAAGUUUAUUUCACAAGUUCUGUGCUGGCCUUAGCUACUGGAACAGACUGAGAUACUCAGACAAAACCAAGGAGGACUUCUCAGCAACUCUGAUCAGUCUGGCUGGAAUCAUCAUUUUUCCUUGCCAUCCAUGCACUUGAGUCUGAAACCCCUGGCGAGUCCAUGUCUCUCUCUGUGUCUCUGUUCCUGUCCCGUCUUGUACAUGAACAACUUCCAGGCAGGCAGGUCUCGAGUGCUCUUUCAUAAAAUGGACCCCUAGGGAAUUGUGAAACACUGGAGCUGGCCAUAAAUGUCAAACACAAAACACAAACAUAAAAUUUAAAAUCACAAUUGAUGGAAAGAGAUAUAGGAAAUUAAAACCAACAGACAAACAGCUCCAACAACAACAACAACAACAACAACAACAACAGCAGCAGAAACAACAACAACAGCAACAACAACAAGAAAAAUCCAUGAAAAUGUCACUCUUAAUAAUAGACACACAGGGGCUGGAGAGAUGGCUCAGUGGUUAAGAGCACUGACUGCUCUUCCAGAGGUCCUGAGUUAAAAUCCCAGCAACCACAUGGUGGCUCACAACCAUCUGUAAUGGGAUCUGAUGCCCUCUUCUGGUAUGUCUGAAGAUGGCUACAGUGUACUUACAUACAUAAAGUAAAUAAAUAAAAUCUUUAAAAAAUAAUAGACUCACAGAACCAUGCCAAGGGAACAUAUUCCACAUACAACAAAAGAUAGAAAUUGAUUUUUAUUCACUGAUAUGUUCAGAUGUCUGAGGCACACUUCCAUUUUAUAUUCUGACAUUUGGUUCUUUCUACUUUGGUUAGGAAGAAUAGUAUUUCUGCUGUGGUUUUAGUGUUCACAUUAUCUUAUCUAUAACUCAAAUGGAAUGGAACUCAGGACAUAACCCAGAUUGGCUUUUAGUUCCUGUGGAUCCCGCUGCCUCAGUUCCUCCUUAGGUGCACUGUAAUGAUGUUAGCAUUUGUGGUUUACUUAGGGUCUCAUAUGUCCCAACAGGCUACUAUGUAGCCAAACAUGACCUUGAGCAGGAUCCUCAUCUUCCUGUCUCUGUAUUGCCAGUGCAGAGAUAUUAGCUUUGAGCACUCUGUCCUGUCAAGUAUCAAAAGUUCAAGGCCAGUGUAGGUAAGAGUGACUUAUAGGUGGAGUGGUAUCCUGUUUGAAAAGGACAUGCACACUCUAAAUAUGUAGAACUAUCAUAUUUAAUGUCUGGGACUUGGGAGAUGUGUAUGGGUAAAGUGUCACAGUGCAACAAAAGGACCCUGCAAAAACCAGACAUGGGUCCCUAGAGUUGACCCAGUGCCACAGCUCUCUGUGCCUGGAUUCCACUGGCAGAGAGAUGGUCUCCCAGGAGUGCUGACAUACCUGAGAGCUGAGGAACCUGCCUGGAUCCCUCAGGACAGGAGAUGCAGGAAGCAUACUGGGAUGAGAUCCUGGAUUCCCUCUGUGCCUGGAGCUGAUCCUGUGCCAUAUUUCUCUAUACCCAGAUCCCAUGAGGAAAGAGCUAUUCUUCCAAGACAGCUGACACACAGAUUUACAGGAGGGUCAAGCCACUGUCAGAGACAGCAGGACCAGAGAUAUCCAGAUGGCAAGAGGCAAGUGCCAGAACCUAAGCAACAGAAACCAAGGCAACUUGGGAUUUUCAGAAGGCCAGUUCCCACACCACAGCAAGUCCAGGAUACCUCAACACACAGGUAAAGCAAGAUCAUGAUUUAAAAUCACAUCUCAUGAUGAUGGUAGAGGACUUGAAGAAGGACAUAAAUAACUUCCUUAAAUAAAUAAGGACAUGGUUUCUGCCUGUGCCAGGAACUGAACUGAACCAGUCCCACAGCUCCCUGCACCCAAAUCCCCUGGGGGAGAGACCUGGACCCUCAGAAGGGCAGACAUUCCUGAGGCCUCAGGGAAGACAACUACUUCUGCCCACAUCCCUGACCCAAGAGGAACCUGUCUAAGUGCCCUCUGUGCUUUCCGGGCACAGGGACCAAGGAACACUCAGGGGCAGAGACCUUCUGGGAUUCUGCAUAUGCUACGAGCUGAAAGCCAGUCUCCAGGAGCACCUACAAACCUGAGAGUAGAGGUAAGACCAACUUUUCUGUCCAUAGCAACCCAUCUGGGAGGCUUCAGGUCACACAAACCCAGUAGCAGCUCUCUGCUCCCAUAUCCAGCUGAAAGACAACAGGAGUGCUGACACAGGCUUACAGGAGGGUCAAGCCACUGUCAGAGACAGCAAGACAAGCUAACACUAGAGACAACUUGAUGGCAAGAGGCAAGCACAGGAACCUAAGCAACAGAAAACCAGAUUACUUGGCAUCAGUAGAAUCCAAAUCUCUCACCAAAGCAAAUACUGGAUACCCAAACACACUAGAAAAGCAAGAUUUGGAUUUAAAAAAUCAUAUCUCAUGGUGAUGAUAGAGGACUUUAAGAUGGACAUAAAUAACUCUCUUAAAGAAAUAUAGGACAACACAGGUAAACAAGUAGAAUCCCUUAAAGAUGAAGCACAAAAUCCCUUAAAGAAUUACAGUAAAACACAACCAAACAU